CCCAAAAAUAGUCAUCAAUACACUUCAAAGUUACAACAAAAUAAAAGAAUCGUGAGUCAGCCAAUCGAACCCUACCAAAAUAUAGGGACACAAAAUAUUUCUCUUUAUUUUGGGAGAAUGAUAAAUAAAAGAAAUUAAAUGUAAGAAUAUAUUGAAUUUUAAAGCAGAACAAAUCCAAUGCAGAAGUAGUUAGGAGUAUAUUUAUCGAAGUAGAAAUCUAUACCAAUUACACAAAAUAAAACCCCUAUUCUCAUUUAACAUUCGGCAAAAUUCAGAACCAAUUUUACCUCAAAGAAAAUUUGAAAAAUGGAAGCAACAGAACUACCCGCCU
rnacentral:lncRNA from 1 species